UGAGGGGAGUUUCCUGCAAGCUCGGCUUCCUCAACAUGGCAGCGCCCUUAUCAGUGGAGGUGGAGUUCGGGGGCGGCGCGGAGCUCCUGUUCGACGGUGUGAAGAAGCAUCAGAUCACCCUGCCUGGACAGGAGGAGCCCUGGGACCUCCGGAACCUCCUCGUCUGGAUCAAGAAGAACCUGCUCAAGGAGCGGCCGGAGCUGUUCCUCCAAGGAGACAGUGUCUUCUUCACCCGCCCCAGGCCCGGCCCAGCUCAGCCCCCUCGGCAAGGAGCCAGGCUCCGUGUGCAAGAAGUCACUUGACUUCUACAACGAGGCCGGCCGAAGAGUGCGCUUGUCCAUCUGCCCGGAAGCAGAGGCCACCAGGACGUCCUGGGGGCUGAGGCUGCAUCCAGCCCCUGGCUCAGGCCAUGGCCCAGCAGUCAUGGAGGCCACCCUCCCACCCCCCGAAGACAGCGGCCAGGAAUCCUGGUGCUGAUUAACGAUGCCGACUGGGAGCUGCUGGGCGAGCUGGACUACCAGCUUCAGGACCAGGACAGCGUCCUCUUCAUAUCCACGCUGCACGGCGGCUGAGGGCCCCCCCUCUGUGCCUGGGCCCCCUGUGGGGCGGGGAGGACGACCAGACCUCCCCUCGGACCCUGCUUCCGGAGCUCCCUGUCCCCCUCGGCUGCCUUCCUCCCUGCUCUGUCCCCUGAGCUCCCUCCAGGCAGGGAAAAGAGGGCAGGUGCUAAAAUGAGCCUUUCGCAGGCACAUGAGCAGGGGAAGGCGGGCGGGCGGGCGGGCUCCUGAGCCCAGCCCUCCCUCUCCCAGCAGCUGAGGUGGGGGAGGGUGCCCCUCUGGUUUGCCAAGAGUAGAGGGGGGCCCUGGGGCCAGGUGAUCCAGCUGCCUUCCAUUCCUGUGUCUCCGUCUAGACACUGAGUGACCACUGACAAGGCGCUCCAGCUCCGGGUCAUAGUGGCCUCGUGGGAAAGACGAAUGGCCCUCAACAGCUGGUGGGAUGCCCCUCCCUCCUCAGACAUUGGAGGCGUCCCCGCCUCAGUUUCCCUAUCUGGACAGUAGAGGGCUCUGCCUGUCCCCCACUGAUGUCAUUGUGGAACCCCAGCUGGGGUCCCCUAUUCAGUGCUGACCCCCUGCCCACCACCCAGCAGCUGCUCUUCCAGCCACACCCCUCCUCCUGCUCCCCCCAUCCCCAGCCCUUGACCCUGGCUGGCCUUCCCCCGCCCACCCCCCCACCCCCCACAGCAGGCCACCAGAUGGGCUCCUGCGACCUUCCCCCAGCAAAAGGCUGCCUGCAGCCCGUUCUGGAAAGGAAGGAAUGAGCUUAACCUUGGACUGUCAGAGGCAUUGGAAGGGUCAGUGUGCCUCAGUUUCCUCCUCAGCAACAGCUGAUGAAUUACAGUGUCUGAAAACGUGGGUGACACUGACGUCACAGAUUAGGCUCCCUCUCCCGUCCUGCCUCCUGCAGGAAGCAGGGCUGGGGCAGCAGCACCUGGGCAGGCGGGGCGGCUCACCCCUCCUCCCUCCACCCUUCUGGAAGUCUCAGGGCCUCCUCAGGGCCUGCAACAGCUGGCCUCGGGCAAAUAAAAGACUGGGUUGUUUACUA